rnacentral:rRNA from 1 species
AACGCUCCGAAAGGGGUGCUAAGACCGCAUACGGGCCAGCGGCGUAGUGACCGGUGGCCGAAAGUCUUCGGACGCUCUGGGAGGGGGCUGCGGCCCCAUCAGGUGGUUGGUGAGGUAACGGCUCACCAAGCCGACGACGGGUCGGGGGUCUGAGAGGAUGACCCCCACACUGGGACUGAGACACGGCCCAGACUCCUACGGGAGGCAGCAGUGAGGAAUCUUGCACAAUGGGCGAAAGCUUGAUGCAGCGACGCCGCGUGGGCGAGGAAGGUCUUCGGAUCGUAAAGCCCUUUUCUGCGUGACGAGACAAGGACGGUAGCGCAGGAAGAAGCGUCGGCUAACUACGUGCCAGCAGCCGCGGUAA